UCAAAAAAAAAUCUCUCUCUUUCUCCCAAAUUGGACGUUUUAUUUUCUCCUUCAACCCUAAUUUCAACAGAUCAACAAUCUGAGAGAAAAACUAGAGAAAAUGCAUCUCUUCUCAACAUUCAUCCUUCAAAUCUGAUCUCUUCAUGGACAUUUAUCCUUGAAACCCAUUCUCUGCUACUACAAUUAACAAUCUUAGAGAAAACGUAGAUCCAGAUGAAGGGAAAGAAAACACAUCGCUUUUCAAACCCAAUCUCUACUAGAGAAAACUCAGAUUCAGAAAAAGGUCAAGGUCGAGCCCCAUAUCAAUCAAGCACGCGAUUCUCUCAAUGGCAACCUGAUAGUUCACGCGAUUUUGGGCUACCCAUCUCCUACCCGUGUCUCCAAUCAAGCACGCGAUUAUGUCUCAGGUCCUUAUAUAUAGUAUCAUGGUUUGAUACUUGGCACCGACGGCUAAGAAUGUAGAAGAGGAAUGUGAUUAUUGAAGGACUAAUGAAAGAUUCUUCUUUGGUUUAGGAGUUGCAGGGCUUGAGACUGAAUGGUGUCACCAUGAACGGCCGAAGCGUACUUUCUUAGUCGUAUACCGUCUCAGUCACCGCCGCAUCUCUCUCCCCUAAUUCUUCAAGCCCUAAUUUUGACCUGUCGUCGCCACGCAUUCUGUUACCUGCGUACCGUAAAAUUCUCCACAAUCACUCCUCAAGUUUACUUUACAUGACGACAAGAAAAGCAGGAGGUUUGGAAGAAAAGAACCCGAAGUGAGAAAUGGACAUUAAGCCCUCCAAAGGAAAACUUUAUAAAGGGAAUUGGAUCCAAUAAUGUUGGGGACAUGAUUAGAUUAUUGUUCAUAUGAUCGAAAAGAAAGGGAUAUUGUGGAAGAGGAAUCUAGCAAGGUAGUGGCGUACUGAUCUGGCUUUGUUUGUUGUGGUCACUGCACGCUUCCCUCCUGUGUACAGGUUGCACUGAGAUUAUGGGAUUGCUAUUAACAAGUUUGUAGGAAGAUCCUCUGUCAUUGCUUAUUUUUUUUCUUUUCUCCCCUUUCGAGAGGAUCUGGCUGUUGUGGAUGAUUUUCUCCCCAUCAUUGCAAGUUCAAGUUAUCUAUUAAAGUUAUAAAGUUUGGUCCUAAAGCAUUUUUUAUUUUUAUACUUUUUAGGUAUAUACCAAAUCAAGAAGCAUCGAAAUAGAGAUUGAAAUAAUAUCCAUCUAAGAGAAGUCAAUUGUUAGUUUGAGCCCUUCUGAUUUUCCACUAGAGGGUAAUUUAUAUGGUGUACAUUGUUUGUUUACAGAACAUCAUUUAUUAGCUUUUUUAGGAUUUCAUUUUUUGAUGUUUUAAGUAGAUCAACUAUGGGAGGGAUUGGAUUUAUACUGAGAACGAUGUUAAGGUUAUCAAAAUGUGUGGAUAAAUUGGACA